GUCACAGUAAUUCAGUUGUAUUGAAAAUACACAAUCACUCUAUUAACAAAGAGUUGCUCUAGAGUAAAGAUAAGAUUAGAACUAAUAACUGUUAGGUGAGGAAUCCAAUGAUGACUUUUCAUCUGCUUGUGAAUGAUGGGUCUGACUUAACUAAGGAGUGCAGACAAUAACUAUUAGGUGAGCCCAUAUGACUUAGAGAUCAAGUAGCUGCA
rnacentral:lncRNA from 1 species